rnacentral:rRNA from 1 species
GACGAACGCUGGCGGCGUGCUUAACACAUGCAAGUCGAACGGAAAGGCCCUGCUUUUGUGGGGUGCUCGAGUGGCGAACGGGUGAGUAACACGUGAGUAACCUGCCCUUGACUUUGGGAUAACUUCAGGAAACUGGGGCUAAUACCGGAUAGGAGCUCCUGCUGCAUGGUGGGGGUUGGAAAGUUUCGGCGGUUGGGGAUGGACUCGCGGCUUAUCAGCUUGUUGGUGGGGUAGUGGCUUACCAAGGCUUUGACGGGUAGCCGGCCUGAGAGGGUGACCGGCCACAUUGGGAAUGAGAUACGGACCAGACUCCUACGGGAGGCAACAGUGGGGAAUAUUGCACAAUGGGCGGAAGCCUGAUGCAGCAACGCCGCGUGCGGGAUGACGGCCUUCGGGUUGUAAACCGCUUUCGCCUGUGACGAAGCGUGAGUGACGGUAAUGGGUAAAGAAGCACCGGCUAACUACGUG